AUAAAGAAAACUCUAACGACGUUGAAACCAUAUAGCACCCCACUAGAAGUGGAAUAUUUUUCCAAGCUCUCAUGACUACGAUGCAGUAGAAGCGAUCACUUAAAUAACACGCAAGCUCGAACUGUUUGAUAUAGUACCAUCUAGAGGCCUGGGAAUCCCGAAAUUUCAUUGUAUUUUGAUUGCUCAUUAAAUUUUAAAUUUUUCCAGAUAAGCAGUGGAACUGCCCCAUAUUUUUUGUGUCCAUUGUGAUAAGAUUGUUAGUUAUUCGAUUGAAUUCAAGUGUGCUAAUUCGUAGGACUUUUGGUCAACGUCCGAAAAUGUUUUCCAGACUUCACGCUGUUUUUUAAUGCCAUAUUUCAAGUACAGCGACAGAAGCAGCGGCUUUCGUAUGAAAACCCAAUUUUGACAGAUCCACGCUCCUGCAAUUAUGCAUAUUAUGGUUGUUCAUGCACGUUUUGACUAUUGAAGGAGAUAUUAAUAUCGAAGGGAAAACACAAGAAAUGUUUAAUAUUAUAAGUUCUAUACUAAAAAUCAAUAAUCG